UAGACGCGUGGUUCGUUCCGAUUUAUCCGGCACGCGGGAUAKUAGAUGUGCACGUUUCUGCCAUCGGUUACGCCAAUACGACAACAGCCAGCACCGAUUUCCUGUGACCAGAAUUCAGGCUGUGGAAUAUGACAAUAAGCGAGCAAUGUGUGGAAAUGCGACUUUAUACCAUUUUUUUUUAUGCUGAAGUUUGCUGAACUCUUUUUACUCUACUAAUUUUAUUCUCUGUACCUCGUCUUUUUUCUUSAUUUGAGGCAGACUCUCUGUGCUUUUUUGUGCCACAAGGCUCUUAUCMAUAUACUCUGCACCUAUUGCAAUUAAUCCGCAGUGUUGUUGCUCUCCAGACCCUGCAAGCAUUGACCUAAUUCUGCUCCCGGGCUUUCAAGUUUAACGACUUUGACUUUCRUGCUGAGUUUCACAGUGCCCGGACUAGGGAUCUUAGGCGUUCCUCCAAGCAAAUGAUAACGCUUUACUUUAUUUUGGGAAGUAGAUUAAGGGCUGAGAUAGCUUUUUGGAAAAUCCCACAUGUUACACGAUUGUGGAACUUUUUUUUGAUGUAACUGACUGGUUCAAAUUGAACAUGUUUAGAUGGCUGAAACAAAAGACAUCGAACUCGUAUGCAGAGUUUAGAAGCCAAUGUCUGAACCCCAGGAAAUACUGCCCAAAUCAUCAUGGAAAUACUGCCCAAAUCAUCAUUUAAAGUGUCAGCACUGGACAUAAUGAAAAACAAAUUUGCAACUAAUCGAGACAGCAUGGUUACAAAGUGAUUUUUCUGGAGUCCAAGAACUCUGUGGUGUUUGGGGGAGAAAACAURCAUAAAAAUCCAGCAUCACAUUAACCCAUUUGGAAAUCAGAGUUACGACAAGUUACGACGAGCGAGCGCCGGACAAAAACUAGUAAAAGAUGAAACAUAUGCACUUUUGCAAACCCCUCACAGAGACUGCUACGCUCAGAAGACUUCUGUGAGUAAAAGCAAGCCCAUCAUUAAGAGGGUUGUAUACCGUAUACAAACCAGACGACGCAAGAAACUCCGUAUUUCUGCAAGGAACCUCCGGCUCCAGCAGUCUGCCUCGGUCGGCUCCACCAGCAUUCCUGCUUUCCUCCACCCUUWGGUGAACUCAGAGUCCUUGCAGGUUAUAUAAUGAAUUUUCAGAAGACUUAACAAGGUUACUGCUGCUGAAGUGCUUAUAUCUCAGAGGACUGGGAAAAAGAGAUAAGCCACACAACUCUACAAAAYCUUUCCGUCGCUGGAAUCCCCCAGACUUCGUAUUUCAGCAGCUGGGACAACUACCUUGACAAUACGCAGCCGUCAUCAAUCUGCCACUACAUAUGUUUUAAAUACGACASAGCUCCAAUUAUAAAUUACUUACUUGUUUCUGUAUUAUUUUAAAUGGUAGUUAAGAAGUUCAAAGCCAUUUCAUUACUACUGCAAAAUUUAUCUGUGGGGACAUUAGAAUGAAAAGUACUUAUUUGCUUUGUGACUUAAAUUGCACCAUUGUGGAGUAUCAGCUUGCAUUUUAAAGCAGUAAAUUCACAAAAUUACAUUAUGUUUAUAGUUGUCAUCAAAAUAUAAAAAGGAACAUUAAUCUUCCAGAAUUUAAUUUUGCCUGGAUUUUAAUUCCAUUCCUUAUUACCAAAGGGAUUUAUAGAUUUUUUUUCAUGAUAUGUCUGCCUUCACAAAGUUUAUGUUUGAAAAAAUGAUAUGCUACAGUACUGGAGUAAUUUUCUAGUUGAUAGUUUUAGUAUUGCCCUCUUAUUCUCUAAUAAUUUACAUACAAGCAUUACGGCACUCCAUUUUUGUCUCGGUUCGAUAGGAAUUUUAUGCCUGUAAUAUUUCAGCCCUCUGCUGAGACGGAGUGCUGGGGUUCUCGCUGCACGGAGAACCCGUUAGCUUCGCCCAGGUCCUGCACCAGCUUCUCGCAGCUCSGCUCAGCGUAGGGGUGGAGCUUCUUUUAGCUGUCAAGUGCUUAUGUAUUGAUAGAUUCAGGUUSCUUUCCCAGCAAACUUUACCUUUCCAUCUCUUUCCCGUGUGACAUCUCCUAGAGCAUGGGCUGUCUGGGUAUCGCUGACAUCUCACGCCUCACUACUUGCCUCCUAGCCACGUGAGUGACCUCCUAUACCUCCUCUUUCAUGCRAACACUGCCGUUCUGUAUUAGCUCAAUGCAAAAAAAACAUUAACUAGUUAAUACCACGUGAGUAUUAACUUCUCCUCCUUAAGGAGAAGUGCUAAGAUUAUUUUUCCUCCGUUGCUUUUCAUGGGCAAAUAUUUUAUUAAACAGAUGGGAGUCUGAUGGGAGGCCAGUACCUGUCAAGGUAUGUCAGAUAUAAUAUCCCAGGCAUAGCUGCCAAAUGUGCACCGAUMUGAUAGCGGUCUAUUUUGUCCAGCACAAUUUUGCUUUGAAGUCUUGCCCAAGGUACAAGGUGAUAAAGGUCUUGUACCUAACAGAUGGUACAUGCAUUUUCACUUGUGCUUUAAGUUUCCAAAUAAAAUAAAGCGAAYGA
rnacentral:lncRNA from 1 species